rnacentral:rRNA from 1 species
GAUGAACGCUGGCGGCGUGCCUAAUACAUGCAAGUCGAGCGAACAGACGAGGAGCUUGCUCCUCUGACGUUAUCGGCGGACGGGUGAGUAACACGUGGAUAACCUACCUAUAAGACUGGGAUAACUUCGGGAAACCGGAGCUAAUACCGGAUAAUAUAUUGAACCGCAUGGUUCAAUAGUGAAAGACGGUUUUGCUGUCACUUAUAGAUGGAUCCGCGCCGCAUUAGCUAGUUGGUAAGGUAACGGCUUACCAAGGCGACGAUGCGUAGACGACCUGAGAGGGUGAUCGGCCACACGGGAACUGAGACACGGUCCAGACUCCUACGGGAGGCAGCAGUAGGGAAUCUUCCGCGAUGGGCGAGAGCUUGACGGAGCAACGCCGCGUGAGUGAUGAAGGUCUUCGGAUCGUAAAGCUCUGUUAUUAGGGAAGAACAAAUGUGUAAGUAACUAUGCACGUCUUGACGGUACCUAAUCAGAAAGCCACGGCUAACUACGUG